rnacentral:rRNA from 1 species
CGGACGGGUGAGUAACGCGUAGGAAUCUACCCAGUAUGGGGGACAACAUGGUGAAAACCAUGCUAAUACCGCAUACGCCCCAAGGGGGAAAGCGGGGGAUCUUCGGACCUCGCGCUAUUGGAUGAGCCUGCGUAGGAUUAGCUUGUUGGUGAGGUAAAAGCUCACCAAGGCGACGAUCCUUAGCUGGUCUGAGAGGAUGAUCAGCCACACUGGGACUGAGACACGGCCCAG